rnacentral:RNase_P_RNA from 1 species
UAGAUAAUCGCUAGGAAACUAGAGGAAAGUCCAUGCUCGCACAGACUGAGAUGUCUGUAGUGUUUGUGCCGGUAUAUAAAAAAUAAAACCGGGCAUUAAUUUGACGGCUGAUAAACUCCUAAUACUUUUAGUGAUGGAGCUAGUCUAUAAAAGUGCCAUAGAGACGAGUUAAAGUGAAAAUUUUAAAGUGGAACGAGGUAAACCCCGCAAGCGAGAAACCCAAAUUAGGUAGGGGAAUUUUGAUAGAGAAAUGAAUCGAAUCAAAAACAGCAAUGUAGAUAAAUGAUUAUCGUUAUACAGAACAUGGCUUAUU